rnacentral:rRNA from 1 species
GACGAACGCUGGCGGCGUGCCUAAUACAUGCAAGUAGAACGCUGAAGAGAGGAGCUUGCUCUUCUUGGAUGAGUUGCGCACGGGUGAGUAACGUGUAGGUAACCUGCCUUGUAGCGGGGGAUAACUAUUGGAAACGAUAGCUAAUACCGCAUAACAAUGGAUGACACAUGUCAUUUAUUUGAAAGUGGCAAUUGCUCCACUACAAGAUGGACUUGCGUUGUAUUAGCUAGUAGGUGAGUUAAUGGCUCACCUAGGCGACGAUACAUAGCCGAACUGAGAGGGUGAUCGGCCACACUGGGACUGAGACAGGGCCCAGACGGCUACGGGAAGCAGCAGGAGGGAAUCUUCAGGAAGGGGGGCAACCCUAACCGAGCAACGCCGCGUGAGUAUAGAAGGUUGUCGGGUCGUAAAGCUCUGUUGUAAGUCUAGAACGGGUGUGAGAGUGGAAAGAUCACACUGUGACGGUAGCUUACCAGAAAGGGACGGCUAACUACGUG